rnacentral:pre_miRNA from 1 species
AAAAAGCCUCCUAUGUUUUGAUUCUUUGGCAGUUUUGGACCCCCAAGGCAAAAAAAAUAAAAAAUUUGACAUGUGGCACCUCACAUAGCGUGCCACGUCAGCGUUGACCGAGUCAACAAUGGACUUGGGGUCGAAAACUGCCAAAGAAUCAAAACAUAGAGGGCUGUUU